rnacentral:rRNA from 1 species
UGCACGAAAGUGUGAUAAGGGAAUCCAGAGUGCUUAGCUUAGCUAGGCUUUUGCCAAGAGUAAAUAUCUUGGAGAAUAAGUGGUGGGAAAGACUGGUGCCAGCCGCCGCGGUAAUACCAGCGCCACGAGUGGGGACUAUGAUUAUUGGGCCUAAAGCGUCCGUAGCCUGUUUAAUAAAUUUUUUGUGAAAUUGUUAAGCUCAACUUAACAGCGUGCAGAAAAGACUGUUAGACUUGGGACUGGGAGAGGUUAGAAGUAUCUUUGGGGUAGCGGUAAAAUGUUAUAAUCCUAAAGAGACUACCUAUGGCGAAAGCAUCUAACCAGAACAGGUCCGACGGUGAGGGACGAAAGCUAGGGGAGCGAACCGGAUUAGAUACCCGAGUAGUCCUAGCCGUAAACGCUGCGAGCAAGAUGUUGCAUAUUCUUCGUGAAUAUGCAGUAUCGAAGAGAAGUCGUUAAGCUCGCCGCCUGGGAAGUAUG